CCGCAUCUCCAUUGCAAUCGGGCCUGGCACACAUCUCUCUCCCUCAUCUCUCCUUCUCCACCUCCGGCCGCCGCCACGGCCAGGCCGGUGUGGUGGUGCGCCAGCAGCCUCCAUCCACUACACCAACAGCACCCAGUACCACCAUCACCUCCAUCCACCAGCGCCACACCACCCAUCCACCUCUCCCUGCUGCUUCCCCUUGCUAUUCAUGCCCUAGACCAGCCAUUGGGGUCGCCGGCGUCUGAUCUCCCGCGCACCUCCAACUGCUGCUGCUUUCCCCCUCGUCCCUACUGCUGCUACUCCAAUUCCUCUGCUCCCCUUCUUCUUCUUUGAAUCUCGCUGUUGCUGCUCUUCUUCUCUCUUCACCUGCUGCUGCUCAUCCCUCACGCCCCUUCUCUAGCUGGCUGCUGCUGCUCUUCACCUUCCCUUGCCCCAACCUGCUGCUACUUCUUCUCUCAACCUCCUCCUGCUGCUUCUCCUCACGUCCCUGCUGCUGCUCCAUUCCCAAUCUUGCUGUUGUUCUCUCUCUCUCUCUCUCUCAAAUUUCUGUGACCUUCAGAAGUGUAAUUAUCAGUACUAUGUAAUGUUCAGAUUUGAUAAGUGUAAUAUCCUACUGUUUGGUUCAGUUUCGAAGUUUAAUAUAAAUGCUUGAUUAGUAUGUCCUUUGUCCUGACUAGUUGAUACCUUGUCACUUUGAGAAAUA
rnacentral:rRNA from 1 species